UACGAAGGGGGCUAGCGUUGCUCGGAAUUACUGGGCGUAAAGCGUGCGCAGGCGGCUUCGCAAGUCAGGCGUGAAAUCCCCGGGCUCAACCUGGGAAUUGCGAUGGAGACUGCAAGGCUAGAAUCUGGCAGAGGGGGGUAGAAUUCCACGUGUAGCAGUGAAAUGCGUAGAGAUGUGGAGGAACACCGAUGGCGAAGGCAGCCCCCUGGGUCAAGAUUGACGCUCAUGCACGAAAGCGUGGGGAGCAAACAGG
rnacentral:rRNA from 1 species